rnacentral:rRNA from 1 species
GAUGAACGCUGGCGGCGUGCCUAAUACAUGCGAGUCGAGCGAACAGACGAGGAGCUUGCUCCUCUGACGUUAGCGGCGGACGGGUGAGUAACACGUGGAUAACCUACCUAUAAGACUGGGAUAACUUCGGGAAACCGGAGCUAAUACCGGAUGAUAUAUUGAACCGCAUGGUUCAAUAGUGAAAGACGGUUUUGCUGUCACUUAUAGAUGGAUCCGCGCCGCAUUAGCUAGUUGGUAAGGUAACGGCUUACCAAGGCGACGAUGCGUAGCCGACCUGAGAGGGUGAUCGGCCACACGGAACUGAGACACGGUCCAGACUCCUACGGGAGGCAGCAGUAGGGAAUCUUCCGCAAUGGGCGAAAGCCUGACGGAGCAACGCCGCGUGAGUGAUGAAGGUCUUCGGAUCGUAAAACUCUGUUAUUAGGGAAGAACAAAUGUGUAAGUAACUAUGCACGUCUUGACGGUACCUAAUCAGAAAGCCACGGCUAACUACGUG